rnacentral:rRNA from 1 species
UUCCUACGGGAGGCAGCAGUGGGGAAUAUUGCACAAUGGGGGAAACCCUGAUGCAGCGACGCCGCGUGAGUGAAGAAGUAUCUCGGUAUGUAAAGCUCUAUCAGCAGGAAAGAUAAUGACGGUACCUGACUAAGAAGCCCCGGCUAACUACGUGCCAGCAGCCGCGGUAAUACGUAGGGGGCAAGCGUUAUCCGGAUUUACUGGGUGUAAAGGGAGCGUAGACGGCAGAGCAAGUCUGGAGUGAAAUGCCGGGGCUCAACCCCGGAACUGCUUUGGAAACUGUGCGGCUCGAGUGCGGGAGAGGU